UGAGGAAUAUUGGUCAAUGGACGAAAGUCUGAACCAGCCAUGCCGCGUGAGGGAAUAAAAUACGGGACGUGUCCUGCUUUGCAUGUACCUUAUGAAUAAGGACCGGCUAAUUCCGUGCCAGCAGCCGCGGUAAUACGGAAGGUCCGGGCGUUAUCCGGAUUUAUUGGGUUUAAAGGGAGCGCAGGCGGUCUUAUAAGCGUGACGUGAAAUGCAGCGGCUCAACCGUAUGAUGUGCGUCGCGAACUGUGAGACUUGAGUGUAUUCGAUGUCAGCGGAAUUUGUGGUGUAGCGGUGAAAUGCUUAGAUAUCACGAAGAGCUCCGAUUGCGAAGGCAGCUGACAAGGCUACAACUGACGCUAAAGCUCGAAAGUGCGGGUAUCGAACAGGAUUAGAUACCCUGGUAGU
rnacentral:rRNA from 1 species